rnacentral:rRNA from 1 species
UAGGGAAUUUUGCGCAAUGGGCGAAAGCCUGACGCAGCAACGCCGCGUGAUUGAUGAAGCCCUUCGGGGUGUAAAGAUCUGUCAGCAGGGACGAAUUUUGACGGUACCUGCAGAGGAAGCACCGGCUAACUCCGUGCCAGCAGCCGCGGUAAUACGGAGGGUGCAAGCGUUGUCCGGAAUCAUUGGGCGUAAAGAGUUCGUAGGUGGCCUGUUAAGUCAGGUGUUAAAGGUCGAGGCUCAACCUCGGUAUGGCACUUGAUACUGGCAAGCUUGAAUGCGGUAGAGGUAAAGGGAAUUCCUGGUGUAGCGGUGAAAUGCGUAGAUAUCAGGAGGAACAUCGGUGGCGUAAGCGCUUUACUGGGCCGUUAUUGACACUGAGGAACGAAAGCCGGGGUAGCAA